rnacentral:rRNA from 1 species
GAGGAAAAGAAACUAACAAGGAUUCCCCUAGUAACGGCGAGUGAAGCGGGAAAAGCUCAAAUUUGUAAUCUGGCGCCUUCGGCGUCCGAGUUGUAAUCUCGAGAAGUAUUUUCCGCGCUGGACCGCACAUAAGUCUGUUGGAAUACAGCGUCAUAGUGGUGAGAACCCCGUAUACGGUGCGGAUGCCCAGUGCUUUGUGAUAUACUUUCGAAGAGUCGAGUUGUUUGGGAAUGCAGCUCAAAUUGGGUGGUAAAUUCCAUCUAAAGCUAAAUAUUGGCGAGAGACCGAUAGCGAACAAGUACCGUGAGGGAAAGAUGAAAAGCACUUUGGAAAGAGAGUUAACAGUACGUGAAAUUGUUGGAAGGGAAACGCUUGAAGUCAGACUUGCAUUUUGGAGUUCAGCCGCAAGGUGUAUUCUUCAAUUCGCAGGCCAGCAUCAGUUUUCGGGGGUGGAAAAUCGCGGUUUGAAGGUAGCAGUUUCGGCUGUGUUAUAGCUUUCCGCUGGAUUCACUUUUGGGGACUGAGGAACGCAGUACGCUUUUUGCAAGACUUUCGAGUCUUUCGUACUUAGGAUGCUGGUGGAAUGGCUUUAAACGACCCGUCUUGAAACACGGACCAAGGAGUCUAACAUGCUUGCGAGUGUUUGGGUGUUAAACCCGGACGCGUAAUGAAAGUGAAUGUAGGUGGGAUCCGCAAGGUGCACCAUCGACCGAU